ensembl:lncRNA
UCACUGUAUCACCAUACUGGGUGCCACAUGUUGCCCUUUCUUCUCCUGUUGGACUCAUGGGCUUAGGGUCAGACAUCGAUCUCUGUAUGGCUUUUGGUGCCCUGGGACUUACUGGAGAGGCUUUCGAUGGAUCGGUACUUCCUCUUAGCUUUUGUGGGCUUGUAUCACCCAAUGAUUUCUCAUAGGACACAAACUCAAGGGAUUUGCUUGGUGAUAUACAGGGGGAUAUGGGGGAAUAAAGCACAUUGAGAGAUUUAGGAGGGGCCUGAAGCGUAGAAGAAUCAACUUUAGGAGAUUGACCUAUUUCUAAGGGAGUGGGUCUUUUCUUUGGCGAGGUCCUUUCAGAGUCAGACAGCUCCAUCCUGGAGUCCACUCGAAUGUUGCCUUCUGUAUCGGUUUGUAUGGAAAUCUCAGUGUGGGCUUUAAGAGACAUCUCUGAAUGUCCACCCCUGUCACCCCGAGCAGUGCGUGGCCGACUUUGUCGGUUUCUGGUCUGGGCCUCCCAUUCAUCUUGAUCUUCAUCAUCAGUCUGGACACAACUGUCAACACUCUUUUUGGCACUUUUCUUUUUCCUCCCUGCUGUAUAAGCUUUGCUCACUGCCUCAUCCUCCUCAUCUGUCUGGCACCCACUAUCCGUGAUCUUCCGGGAGAGUACUGUGCCAUCAGGUCCUAAGACAACUGCCUCCUGCACGCCAUGCCCUGGUAGGUCCCCACCUGGGUACAUCUGACGAAGUUUUUGCUCUUCCAGUUGCAUGCGCAGCUGCUCUUGGAGUCGCUGAAUCUGAUCAAGCUGCUGCUGUUGUUGGGCAUAUGUUUCUUUCUGCAUCAUAAGGUGAGCCUGUCUUUCCUCUUCUUGUUGGUUCAGGAUGUGUUGCUUCAUCGCCUGCAGCUCUUCCAGUUCCUUCUGGACCAAGAGUUGUUCAUGCUCUCGGAACCGUUGAAUCUCUUGGCGCUCCCACUCUAAUUCCUCAGCCAAGCGCUGUUGCUUCAGUUUCUCCAUCUCUAGUCUCUCACGCUCUGCCUGAUACUGGCCAUCCCCAGGAACCAUGGGUGAAGACAGGGCUUCCAGUGAAGCAGCUAUGGCCUCCAGGGAUGCAUCAGUGUAGUCAAGAGACAAAGAAGCUGUGACAACAGUGCUACCCCUUCUAGAGAUCUCCAGAUUGAGUGGGGUAUCUUCUUGUUCCACGGUAGCAGUAGAGUUGAUGGUGGAGAGGAAACUAUGGGAUCUUGUAAGUGGUAAAUUCUGGAUGUCAGAAAGGGAAGGCAUUGUAUCGCUGGUAUGCAUACCUGAAAGUGUGUUGUAUGUCGUACUAAAGAUGGACCCAGGUUGGGUGGUAAUGGCAUACGUAGAUGGGAUUGGUGCUGCAACAGAGGAAUAAACCACCCCAUUUGAUGACCUCAAGACACUGCUUGUACCAAAGAGUGUUCCAACAGCGCUUGUGACUCUGGCUUGGGAAUAGGGUGGGAUUGUCAUUCCUGCAUAAGUUCCUUUCUUGGAGUAGUCAACAGCUUCACCUGUCAAAAGUCAAAAAUAUCAGUUGAGUCCAAACAAUGCAGACUUAUUCAAUGUUGAACCAAGCCAUGCCUUAUCCAAAUAAUAUUUAAAAAGGGGGAAACAAUCCAAUAACGAGAAGCACAAGAAGUGUAAACAGCAACAGCAUGCAAGCAACAUGCAAAAAAUAUUAUGGUGAAAGGGCAAAAAAAAAAAAAAAUGUUUCAUGCAAAUCAAAACGAACAGCAAAAAAAAGACAAAAAGUUGUCAGGUCAGCCAUGAAUGAGUCGAGGCAGUUCAAAGUGACAUUUAAGUGACAAGUCGGCAAUGUCACUGCACUGACCUGCAUCAGAAAUCUUUGCUGAGGUAAGAUCUACUGCACCCUCUGUGGUACCACUGAAAUCAUAGCUGUUCUUACUCUUGUAAAAGAACAGGCCGGCCUCUGCUAGGUUAGUGUCUGACAUCGACGGUUUAAUUCCACCAAACCCUCUCAUGCCGUAAGGGGAUCGGUCAUACUGGUAAUGGUCAUCCCGAUAUCCAAAUCGAUCUUCAGGCAGGGGUGUAGUAGCUUGCUGAGCAGUGCAGCUUCCUGCAAAUGGGAGAUUGUACACAACAUCACAGCAAACAGCUCUUUUUCCUGCAGUCAGAUCCACUGGUUUGCCAUCGUCAUCUGUGAGUACAGCUGUGACCGCCUCUGCAGAAGCAGCAUCCACUGACACCAGAGUGUUGAAUGGUUUUGUUGUGCUAAGGUCGACGGCUCCAGCCACUGUGGUUGAGCCCGUAGUUAAUCCAUUGGCAACAUAACCUGCAAUACAAGCGGGUGCAAUAGUGACAGGAUUGGUCUGGAAAGAACCUCCGCCGGUGCUGGAUCCGACUGAGAGGUUAAUAGGGGUUUCCAUACCAGACGGUGUAGAUGGCUGAGAAUCAAUUGGCCGAUAUAUGAUUUGAGAAACAGGUUCAAAAGCUUUAUUUUUUGUUAACUGAAGGGGAACUGAAGAUACUCGGGAAAUGUCUACAUUGUCACAUUGUUCAAUUGUGGCAGCACAGGUCACAAUGGUGAUACUAUCAGUCACUAUAGAAACAGUGGAUGAUUCAGCACUAAGAUUGACCACAGGUGAGUGCACUGCACUGUUCUGACGACUGAUAUCCGCUGCAAAGGACUGACGUCUUGCGUCUGGGCCAGCAGACAGAUCCACACCAUUCAUGUCUGAUUGUUGGUCCACCUUCAUAGUCCUAAGAUCUACCACCUCAGAAGGUUGGAUGGCCUGUCCAUUUUGCGCUGGCAAUUGGGGCUUAGGUUUCUCCAUUGAGAUUGGGACACCAUUUGCCCUUGGAGCUGGCACUGGGGGUGAUGUCCUUUCAUGAACAACAGAGACAGUGGUCCUUUGGACUUCUGUUGUGACCACUUGAGAGAUCAGAUUAGGCAUAACCACAGGUGGCUGUGCAGAGGCAGAUAUAGCCUCAAUUAUAUGACAAGAACUAGAUACAUGCUUCUCCGGGCCACAAAACUCUUGACUUUCAAUAGAUUCUGUGACUCGUGUGUAUGCCAGAGGCACUCUGGUUGUUUGAGGGGGGCUUGGUUGUGGAUGAUGCUGUGGAUAAGAUUGAAGUUGAUGUUGUUGUUGGUGGUAGCUUUGGGGCUGAGCCGGGCAUGAAGAAGAUGCUGGGCCGGGGCUAGAGGGAGCUUGAGUUAAGAGACUGUCUACUGGAGAGCUGGGCUGAGAUGGCAAUGUGAUGACUACAUAUGUGUCACGAAUAUUCCUGGUGUAUCUUGGAGAUGAGGGAGACUUGGGGGAGGGUUGAAACAGCUUGCUCUCAGAGGAAGGACUCAGAUUCAAAGCUAUGUCAUUAGGACCAGUGGGAAGAACAGUGGGUCUUGGUGAAUGUGGGACAUGAGCAGGCGAAGAAGGCUGUGAACCAGGCUUUGGUGCAAUUGGUGGUUUGACGCAAUGUCCUGGUCGGUAGCUAUCCCCGAUCCCUGCAUGAAUGGUUGGCUUUGGGGCAACAGGAGGGGGAACUUGAGGCUUGUAUAUUGGUGUAACUAGUUGUCUUGUGGGUGAUCCUUGGCUUGCAGUCAUAGCCACCAUCUCUGGCCUGAUCUGUGUUGCUGAAGCCUGAGGUGGAAGUGGGACAGGAGCUUUCCUGGGGAAAACCGUAGGUUUUGGAGGGGUUGGAGGAGGCAGUGGCGGUGCAACAGGUACUUCUGCUUUUUCCUGAGAAUUAGCCCUAAGCAGUACACUAGGCUUAGGAGGUAAAGGUGGAGAAGUUGACACUACGCUAGAGACACCGGGUGUGUACUGGGGGACUGUGGGCAAGGGUGAAACACUAACAAUUGCCGGGACUGAUGUUCUCGGGAGUGCACUCGAUAAGUCAACAAUAUCGAGCUCUGAUUCUGUGAUUGUGGUGUGAGUUUGUUGAUAUGAUGUGGAUGAUGGCGGAGACUCGGUAGACACUGUGACCGGCUCAGUUUCCAUAGCCUCUGGCGUGUCUGACACUAUAGUUAUAAUCUCCUCUUUUUUAAUACUUUCGUCAUCAGAGGACAACUCUCCUGAAGAACACUGUGUCACCUUUAAGUCUGGAAUGGGAUUGAGUGCCCUUUUAGAUGCAGUGGCUUCCACUUCUGGUUCCUGCAGAGUUGGACUUGUUCCAGGAGUCAGAGUUCUUUUAAUUAGCUCUUCAUAGGCAGUUUCGGCAUCCAACAAUGGCUUCCCAUCCUUGCCUAAUGUUACUGUGGUGCUUUUGGGGAAAGUGUCCUCAGCAGGUUGCAACACAAUUUCUGGGGUUGUGCUUUCCACUUUUGGCUGCAUCUUUUGAUAUUCCUUCUCAAGCUGGAUGAAUUCCUUCCUCUUCUUUAUCAUGUCUUCAUAAACUUCAUCUGGUGAUCUCAGUGUUUUUGGCUGCGCGGGAACAUUAAUCUUCUCCGGUCCACCCGUAUCAGCUGUUGAAUUGUCAAUAAGAGAUGCAUAGGCAUAGUCUUCAAUAAGCAUUCCCCCGUAAAGGGACUCUUUUCCUGGUUGAAUAUUUCCUUUGUCAAGGGUUGGAGACUUGGCCCUUAGCAUUAUUUCCUCAUAGGCUUCAUCAGCCGUUUUGAGGGUUUUUUUCUGUGGUUGAUCAAGAUUUUGAGCAUCUGUUGGAGAGUGAAGAGAUACCGAUAUAGGAAGUUGAUAGGUUUUCUGAACUGCCGCAAUCUUUGCAGGAUGGAUUUCAAAUCCUUCAGAAUCUGAUUCAACACUGGGGGAGAAAUCAGAGCAGGACGAUCGCCUGAUCUCCUCCAUCUCAGCUUCUUGCCUGAGUUCCUCGGUUGGUGAGGCAUCUUCGAUGGGCGAAAGGUUGCUCGGUGGUGUCUUUGGACGCUCUCGUCUCCUCUGGGCUCGGAUCUCUUCUUUGUCCUUCUUGGACUUUUUCCCCGAUCCCUUCUGUUUUUCUUGCUCCCUCAGCAGCUCUUCUUCUUCCCGUAACUCUUCCUCUUCAGAAGAGUCUUCAAUAGUUGGCAGCAUUUGACCAGGUUGUCUGUGUUUGGCUUUCCUGUGUUGUUUACCCUCACCAGAACGGAUAUGGCUGGGACUACCGCUGUCACUGUCUUCAUCCAGUGAUGAGAGUGAUGUCGGGGAUGUCCCGGGGGUGAAGCUGGAUGCAUGUAGACUGGAUGACCCCUCACCUCUAGACCGAUCAUCUGGAGAGUCUGUAAGGCUUUCCAUCUCAGGUUCUCUAUCAUCAUUAGGUAUAUGGAUAGGGCCGCUGGUUGAAUUCAGCUCCAUUAUUCGGAAUUUGCGGACUCCAGUACCACUCCCUUCCUUGGAGUCUUGUCCCUCCUCUCGGUUUAUAUCAGGUUUUUCCGAUGAGUCACGUAGUUGUUUAACCUCUUCGUCAUCUGGACUAAUUGUGCAUUUUUUGGUAAGUCGUCUGGCUUUUCCUGAUGCACUCCUCUCUACACCCUCAGUUGUCUUCUGUUCCAUUUGCUUCUUCUCAUUCUCCCUUAUCUUACGCCUGAUGAGGUUUUCCUCAUCAGACGGGGAGGCAUCCUCAUUUUCACUCAUUUCCAUAAUCUGUUUUCGGAUAAAUUCCUCAUCAUCACCAGAUAUCGGGCUUUCUUUUCCAAAGCUUUCACUGCUGUCAUCCAGGGAAUCUGCCCUGACAUCCAUGGGCACGAGUAGCUUUUUCUUUGUGGUACCUUUGUCAUUCUUCUCACAAAGUCCCCGGUCAUCUUCUGAGCUGGGUGAGUCAGGUGAGAGAGGAAGCACUUGUAAUUUACGUCUGGUCUUUAGGGUGUCUGUUAGUGUCUCCUCAUCUUCCUUUGGUUGUGUCUUGGCCUCAAGAAUGGGUAAGACUGUGCUUUCCAGCUUGGCUAGGUCAGAUGGGCUGGUGGGACUGCAGUCCUUGGCAGAUAUUUCUUUCUCUUCAGGCUCUUUCAUGGUCUCCUCCAUUUUCACCUGUUGGAUGGAAACACAACAAUUAUUGGUAAAUUCAAAAACAGAAACUGCAAUCUUUUUAACAUGUUACAUGUGAUUAAUGUGUAUAUGUGAGUACAGUCCUGAGAAAUAACAAAU